GAUCCUGGCUCAGGAUGAACGCUAGCGGCAGGCCUAAUACAUGCAAGUCGAACGGUAAAUAUUUAGCAAUAAAUAUGAGAGUGACGUACGGGUGCGUAACACGUAUGCAACCUACCCUUUACAGGCGGAUAGCUCGGGGAAACUCGAAUUAACCCGCCGUAAUAUAAUUGGAUGGCAUCAUCUGGUUAUUAAAUCUACGGAGGUAAAGGAUGGGCAUGCGUCUGAUUAGUUAGUUGGCGGGGUAACGGCCCACCAAGACGAUGAUCAGUAGGGGAACUGAGAGGUUGAUCCCCCACACUGGCACUGAGAUACGGGCCAGACUCCUACGGGAGGCAGCAGUAGGGAAUAUUGGUCAAUGGAUGGAAGUCUGAACCAGCCAUGCCGCGUGCAGGAAGAAGGCCUUCUGGGUUGUAAACUGCUUUUGCCAGGGGAUAAAAUGACCUUGCGAGGUUAAUUGAAGGUACCUGGUGAAUAAGCCACGGCUAACUACGUGCCAGCAGCCGCGGUAAUACGUAGGGCGCAAGCGUUGUCCGGAAUUAUUGGGCGUAAAGAGCUCGUAGGUGGCUUGUCACGUCGGGUGUGAAAGCUUGGGGCUUAACUCCAGGUCUGCAUUCGAUACGGGCUGGCUAGAGGUAGGUAGGGGAGAACGGAAUUCCUGGUGUAGCGGUGAAAUGCGCAGAUAUCAGGAGGAACACCGGUGGCGAAGGCGGUUCUCUGGGCCUUACCUGACGCUGAGGAGCGAAAGCGUGGGGAGCGAACAGGAUUAGAUACCCUGGUAGUCCACGCUGUAAACGUUGGGCGCUAGGUGUGGGGACCUUCCACGGUUUCCGCGCCGUAGCUAACGCAUUAAGCGCCCCGCCUGGGGAGUACGGCCGCAAGGCUAAAACUCAAAGGAAUUGACGGGGGCCCGCACAAGCGGCGGAGCAUGUUGCUUAAUUCGACGCAACGCGAAGAACCUUACCAAGGCUUGACAUUGCCCGGAAACACUCAGAGAUGGGUGCCUCUUCGGAUCGGGUGACAGGUGGUGCAUGGCUGUCGUCAGCUCGUGUCGUGAGAUGUUGGGUUAAGUCCCGCAACGAGCGCAACCCUUGUUCAAUGUUGCCAGCACGCUCCUUCGGGGGUGGUGGGGACUCAUUGGAGACUGCCGGGGUCAACUCGGAGGAAGGUGGGGAUGACGUCAAGUCAUCAUGCCCCUUAUGUCUUGGGCUGCAAACAUGCUACAAUGGCCGGUACAGAGGGCUGCGAUACCGCAAGGUGGAGCGAAUCCCUAAAAGCCGGUCUCAGUUCGGAUUGGGGUCUGCAACUCGAGCCCAUGAAGUCGGAGUCGCUAGUAAUCGCAGAUCAGCAACGCUGCGGUGAAUACGUUCCCGGGCCUC
rnacentral:rRNA from 1 species